rnacentral:rRNA from 1 species
AUUGAACGCUGGCGGCAGGCCUAACACAUGCAAGUCGAGCGGAUGAAGGGAGCUUGCUCCUGGAUCCAGCGGCGGACGGGUGAGUAAUGCCUAGGAAUCUGCCUGGUAGUGGGGGAUAACGUCCGGAAACGGGCGCUAAUACCGCAUACGUCCUGAGGGAGAAAGUGGGGGAUCUUCGGACCUCACGCUAUCAGAUGAGCCUAGGUCGGAUUAGCUAGUUGGUGGGGUAAAGGCCUACCAAGGCGACGAUCCGUAACUGGUCUGAGAGGAUGAUCAGUCACACUGGAGCUGAGACACGGUCCAGACUCCUACGGGAGGCAGCAGUGGGGAAUAUUGGACAAUGGGCGAAAGCCUGAUCCAGCCAUGCCGCGUGUGUGAAGAAGGUCUUCGGAUUGUAAAGCACUUUAAGUUGGGAGGAAGGGCAGUAAGUUAAUACCUUGCUGUUUUGACGUUACCAACAGAAUAAGCACCGGCUAACUUCGUG